rnacentral:lncRNA from 1 species
AAUUGUGCAAGAGGAGCCGGGCGCGCAGGGCGCAAAUCACCGAGCGCUUGGUACGGACGGCUGCGGGUGAUUAAUUAUCCGUCCGCUGCCCUGGCGCUCUCCGGGCGGCUCUCCCGGCAGGGUAGCAGCCGAGCUGCCGGCGGCGGCUGAGCGAGAAGCGGCUCUGGGAGAACGCAGGGGCCGCGCCGAGUGUGAGUGCACCGCGCCGGGCGGCGGGCGGCGGGCGGGUGGCGAGCCGAGCGGGCUGCGCCGCGGCCAAGGGAGCAAGGGGAGAGUGAAGCCACCGCGAGCCGGAACGGAGGCCGAGAGCAAGCGGGAGCGCAGCCUGCCGCCCUCCGGGUUGACCCGGCCGGCAGGGAAGCCUGCACAGCCUCGCUCAGGUCUGAGUCCAGCUGCUCCAGACACCAGAAGUCAGACCCGCUGCUGUGAGGGGCCCGCGCUUUAGGACUGUUCGCUUGCAAAGACCUACUUCGAGACAGCAGACACUUUGACCAAGUCUUUCACAUACUCAGAAAGAUACAUUUGUUGAGUAGUGGCUUUUUCUCUUUUUAGCGGGAAACAAAGAAAUAAAUUAAGGCUUCGCAGGACCCAGGCUACACACGGUGAAACUUUGCAGCAAAUGCCUUUGCUUUCUCUAACUUCGAUGUCCUUUCCCCCCUUUUCCUUAAGGACCCUUGGGGAAGCCAGGAAGUAACACUGCACAAUCCAGUAGCACAGAAAUGACAAUGUAUAUAUUUUUAAAUUUCAGAAACAUUUAGAAAGAAAAGUAGCAGGAAGAAAAGGGCACAUAACAACUCGAGGUUUCUUUAAAAAAAAAAUGAAAGUAACUUACCUGUUGGGACAUUCUGAAUAAGAGGUUAGUGUCAGCGUUUUGCCAUGUCCCCAUGAACCCUGGUUCAGCCGCAGUUGUUCUGGUUCCGAACUGCAUGGAGUUGUCAGUACAGGAGUCUCUUAAAGUCAAGUCUCUUGCCCUCUUUGGCUCUCUGUCUCUCUGUGUGUCUCUUUCUCUCACAUCCACUUCUGCCUCUUCUGACUGAAAAGUGAAGGUGGAUUUUUUGAGCUUCUUGGCAGCCAGUAGCAGGAGUAUACUGUAGUUAAGAAGCUGGCUGAACUGUGCGUUUCAUUUGGGAAGGGGGAGAUCUGGGGGAGGGGGGUCAGAGCUUCCUUCGCACCUUCUGCACAGAUAUCCCUAUCAUUUAUGCAUAGAUUGUGACUCCCCUAGCUUGCCUUUGCUCGGUUUAACAGCUGCCUGUCAGGUGUGCAGGCUGCACUGGAGACCCAACCAUCAGCUUCAAACCCUCAGCCACUGCAUGUCAUUGGAUAGCAGAGCUAGGAGUCACUGCACUGUUCCACUGUCAGGCACCAAAUGACACCCUGCACUAACCCCUCUCCAGACACACAGAUAGAUACACACUCGUGCGUACUCCACGAAACGCCACGAUCACUGCCCACAAGGCCAGGGGAAGCCAGGGCCCUUCCCUGGGAAUUUUCCCCAACAAUGCUGUCUGCUGUAACAUGUUAUAUCCAACACCAGUCUUUUCUUUAACACUUGCAAAAAUAUGACACUUAAAUAUUUCUAAACAUACUGGAAGCAAGUGAAGUAUUCAUCUGGAGGAAAACAUAAAGUUUGCUCAGUUGUUUUUUUUUAAAUAUUAGCUGCCACAAGUCACACCGUAAUGCUGGGCUAUUUAUAACCACGUAUAAACUCAUAGAGAAAAUAAUAUACAGAGAUUUGACCUUAUAUUCUAAAGGGUGAACAAGCAAAGCUUCCAGUUAAACAUGGAAGAUGUACAAUAAACAUAUGAAAAAAAUAAAUAUAUACCACUUAAUAGCCAGCACCUCAGGCCAUUAACUACCAAACUGAAGGCUAAGUAAAGAGACCCUGAAAGCAGAGAAGAAAAGUGAAUAUCUUUUCUUAAAGCUCACAAGCAGAAUAAAAUCCUUUGUUAAAGUUCUCAGGUAAGGCAUCUACACCAAUCUUUUAAAUCAUAUAU